AUUGAACGCUGGCGGCAUGCUUUACACAUGCAAGUCGAACGGCAGCACAGGGAGCUUGCUCCCGGGUGGCGAGUGGCGCACGGGUGAGUAAUACAUCGGAACGUGUCCUAUAGUGGGGGAGUAACUAGUCGAAAGACUAGCUAAUACCGCAUGAGACCUGAGGGUGGAAAGACAGGGGAGUCGCAAGACCUUGCGCUAUUGGAGCGGCCGAUGCCCGAUUAGCUAGUUGGUGAGGUAAAGGCUCACCAAGGCGACGAUCGGUAGCUGGUCUGAGAGGACGACCAGCCACACUGGGAC
rnacentral:rRNA from 1 species